AAUUAUUGGACAAAACUGCUAAGGAGUCAUUUAUCAUUUUCUAUCGAACUUUACCCUGGUUGGGGAGGUUAAAUGCGAGUUAUAAGUCGCAUUCACCAAAUGCGAGUUAUAAGUCGCAUUCACCACGGCUUCACAGGCAACAAAAAACCUAGCGACGCUACCUGCCCUCUACCCUGUGAAUUUUACUGAGAAAUCAAAACUGAUUCAUGGCUUCUUCCGCUAAUUCUAGGCUCGAAAUCCUCACUCGACACUUAACUUCAGCAGCUUUUGCCUCUAAGGUACCACUAAAAAUCACACUGUCUUACUACUUGAUUACCUUUUUUUUUUUUUUUUUUUUUUUCCUUUUGCAAUUCAAAAGCAGGAUUGUGAUGUUGAAAUACUAAUCAAAUUACAAAUACCUUAAUAUCUAAGAAAGUUUGUCCAGUUUCAUUUAUGGAAAGCUAUUUUUUGCGAACAAUGAACUUAUAUUUCUGGUUAUAUCUUUACCAAAAUGGACACUUCAUUUCAUCAGUUUCUGCCUCUAAGGUAGCUCUAAAAAUCACUCUUUCUUACUAACAAUUAUCCUUUUUGCAAUUCAAAAGCAAGUUCCGAGAUUGUUAAUUACUAAUCAAAUUAUCAAUGCCUUAAUUUCUAAGAAAAUUUGUCCAAUUUUAGUUGUCGGAAAAAUGCUAUUUUUUCCUGAUGGUUAAUUCUUUCUCACGCUUUAUAGGCUGGAUCUGAUGGUCAAAAGUUGGAGUGGAUUAAGAUAUCACCUGAGGUAUCAGAAGCACUAAAAAUUGGCAGCCCAAUUGUUGCACUCGAAUCCACCAUAAUAUCUCAUGGUACAUGAAAAUUUUGACCUCAUUGCUCAAUUAAAUCGUCUGCUUAUAUUGUCUAUAUGUUACUAGUACUAAUGAAGGGAAUUAUGUCGUAGUAAUUCGUACUAGUGGUAAGAGUGCAGCUUGUGAUGUGUGGGCUGGGGGCACGUUACGGGUUUGAAUCCUGC
rnacentral:lncRNA from 1 species